rnacentral:rRNA from 1 species
UACGGAGGGAGCUAGCGUUGCUCGGAAUUACUGGGCGUAAAGCGCACGUAGGCGGCUCUUUAAGUCGGGGGUGAAAUCCUGGAGCUCAACUCCAGAACUGCCUUCGAUACUGAAGAGCUCGAGUCCGGGAGAGGUGAGUGGAACUGCGAGUGUAGAGGUGAAAUUCGUAGAUAUUCGCAAGAACACCAGUGGCGAAGGCGGCUCACUGGCCCGGUACUGACGCUGAGGUGCGAAAGCGUGGGGAGCAAACAGG